UACGUAGGGUGCAAGCGUUGUUCGGAUUUACUGGGCGUAAAGGGCGCGUAGGCGGCAAUUCAAGUCAGCUGUGAAAUCUCCGGGCUUAACUCGGAACGGUCAGCUGAUACUGCUUUGCUAGAGUGCAGAAGGGGCAAUCGGAAUUCUUGGUGUAGCGGUGAAAUGCGUAGAUAUCAGGAGGAACACCGGUGGCGAAAGCGGCUUCCUGGCCCGACAUUGACGCUCAUGUACGAAAGCGUGGGGAGCAAACAGG
rnacentral:rRNA from 1 species